rnacentral:lncRNA from 1 species
AUUAGAUUAGAAUUUAGAAUUUGAUUAAGGUUUGAUUAAGAUUAGGAUUUAAGAUUUGUAUUAGAAUUUUUUAAGGAUUUAGGAUUUAAAAUUUAAGAUUUAUUUAGGAUUUAGGAUUUAGGAUUUGUUUAAGAUUUGGUUAGAAUUUAGGGUUGGACUAAGGUUUAGGAUUUGAUUUAGGAUUUUUUUAGGAUUUAAGAUUUGGCCUAGGGCUUGAUUAAAGUCCAUUAAGGUUUCAACUAGGAGUAAAUUAGAACUUAGUUGAGAUUUAUUUAAGAUAUAUUUGUGAU